rnacentral:ncRNA from 1 species
AUUCUGGUUGAUCCUGCCAGUAGUUAUAUGCUUGUCUCAAAGAUUAAACCAUGCAUGUUCUAAGUACACACGAAUUAACAGUGAAACCGCAAAAGGCUCAUUAUAUCAGUUAUGGUUCCUUAGAUCGUUAACAGUUACUUGGAUAACUGUGGUAAUUCUAGAAACUAUUCCUGCAAUUAAAAACCGGACCUUUUGGAAACUGUGGCUUUUAUAAGGCAAAACCCACCGAUCCCCAAAUUCUUUUUAUGGGUGAACUCCAAAAAACUGCCAAUUCUAUGGGGCUUGGACCCACCAAA